rnacentral:rRNA from 1 species
ACGUGGGAACGUGCCUUUUGGUUCGGAAUAGCUCCUGGAAACGGGUGGUAAUGCCGAAUGUGCCCUUCGGGGGAAAGAUUUAUCGCCAUUAGAGCGGCCCGCGUCUGAUUAGCUAGUUGGUGAGGUAAAGGCUCACCAAGGCUACGAUCAGUAGCUGGUCUGAGAGGAUGACCAGCCACAUUGGGACUGAGACACGGCCCAAACUCCUACGGGAGGCAGCAGUGGGGAAUCUUGCGCAAUGGGCGAAAGCCUGACGCAGCCAUGCCGCGUGAAUGAUGAAGGUCUUAGGAUUGUAAAAUUCUUUCACCGGGGACGAUAAUGACGGUACCCGGAGAAGAAGCCCCGGCUAACUUCGUGCCAGCAGCCGCGGUAAUACGAAGGGGGCUAGCGUUGCUCGGAAUUACUGGGCGUAAAGGGAGCGUAGGCGGACAUUUAAGUCAGGGGUGAAAUCCCAGAGCUCAACUCUGGAACUGCCUUUGAUACUGGAUGUCUUGAGUGUGAGAGAGGUAUGUGGAACUCCGAGUGUAGAGGUGAAAUUCGUAGAUAUUCGGAAGAACACCAGUGGCGAAGGCGACAUACUGGCUCAUUACUGACGCUGAGGCUCGAAAGCGUGGGGAGCAAACAGGAUUAGAUACCCUGGUAGUCCACGCCGUAAACGAUGAUUGCUAGUUGUCGGGAUGUUUACA